AAAGCUCAAAUUUGAAAUCUGGCACCUUCGGUGUCCGAGUUGUAAUUUGAAGAUUGUAACCUUGGGGUUGGCUCUUGUCUAUGUUUCUUGGAACAGGACGUCACAGAGGGUGAGAAUCCCGUGCGAUGAGAUGCCCAAUCCUAUGUAAGGUGCUUUCGAAGAGUCGAGUUGUUUGGGAAUGCAGCUCUAAGUGGGUGGUAAAUUCCAUCUAAAGCUAAAUAUUGGCGAGAGACCGAUAGCGAACAAGUACAGUGAUGGAAAGAUGAAAAGAACUUUGAAAAGAGAGUGAAAAAGUACGUGAAAUUGUUGAAAGGGAAGGGUUUGAGAUCAGACUCGAUAUUUUGUGAGCCUUGCCUUCGUGGCGGGGUGACCCGCAGCUUAUCGGGCCAGCAUCGGUUUGGGCGGUAGGAUAAUGGCGUAGGAAUGUGACUUUGCUUCGGUGAAGUGUUAUAGCCUGCGUUGAUGCUGCCUGCCUAGACCGAGGACUGCGAUUUUAUCAAGGAUGCUGGCAUAAUGAUCCCAAACCGCCCGUCUUGA
rnacentral:rRNA from 1 species